UUAUUUGAGAGUUUGAUCCUGGCUCAGGAUGAACGCUGGCGGCGUGCCUAACACAUGCAAGUUGAGCGAUUUACUUCGGUAAAGAGCGGCGGACGGGUGAGUAACGCGUGGGUAACCUACCCUGUACACACGGAUAACAUACCGAAAGGUAUGCUAAUACGGGAUAAUAUAUUUGAGAGGCAUCUCUUGAAUAUCAAAGGUGAGCCAGUACAGGAUGGACCCGCGUCUGAUUAGCUAGUUGGUAAGGUAACGGCUUACCAAGGCGACGAUCAGUAGCCGACCUGAGAGGGUGAUCGGCCACAUUGGAACUGAGACACGGUCCAAACUCCUACGGGAGGCAGCAGUGGGGAAUAUUGCACAAUGGGCGAAAGCCUGAUGCAGCAACGCCGCGUGAGUGAUGAAGGCCUUCGGGUCGUAAAACUCUGUCCUCAAGGAAGAUAAUGACGGUACUUGAGGAGGAAGCCCCGGCUAACUACGUGCCAGCAGCCGCGGUAAUACGUAGGGGGCUAGCGUUAUCCGGAUUUACUGGGCGUAAAGGGUGCGUAGGCGGUCUUUCAAGUCAGGAGUGAAAGGCUACGGCUCAACCGUAGUAAGCUCUUGAAACUGGGAGACUUGAGUGCAGGAGAGGAGAGUGGAAUUCCUAGUGUAGCGGUGAAAUGCGUAGAUAUUAGGAGGAACACCAGUUGCGAAGGCGGCUCUCUGGACUGUAACUGACGCUGAGGCACGAAAGCGUGGGGAGCAAACAGGAUUAGAUACCCUGGUAGUCCACGCUGUAAACGAUGAGUACUAGGUGU
rnacentral:rRNA from 1 species